GCCUAGUUAGCUUCGUCAGUAGAGCGUCUGCCUCGUAAGCGCUAGGCCGCGGGUUCGAUUCCCGCCCGGGGCG
rfam:Asian citrus Psyllid, Diaphorina citri - Florida Strain, whole genome shotgun sequence.